rnacentral:rRNA from 1 species
GCAAGUCGAGCGAGACGGUUAUGAAAGAUCCUUCGGGUGAUAGAUUAACUAGAAAGCGGCGGACGGGUGAGUAACGCGUGAGUAACCUGCCCCAUACACAGGGAUAGCCAUUGGAAACGAUGAUUAAUACCUGAUAACACAUAUUUAACACAUGUUAAUUAUGUCAAAGAUUUAUCGGUAUGGGAUGGACUCGCGUCUGAUUAGCUAGUUGGUAAGGUAACGGCUCACCAAGGCGACGAUCCCUAGCUGGUCUGAGAGGAUGAUC